rnacentral:rRNA from 1 species
GACGGGUGAGUAACACGUGGGAACGUGCCUUUUGGUUCGGAACAACUCAGGGAAACUUGAGCUAAUACCGAAUGUGCCCUUCGGGGGAAAGAUUUAUCGCCAUUAGAGCGGCCCGCGUCUGAUUAGCUUGUUGGUGAGGUAAAGGCUCCCCAAGGCAACCAACAUUACCUGGCCUGAGAGGAUGAUAAGCCACUCUGGGACUGAGACCGGCCCAAACUUUUACGGGGGGCGCAUUUAGAAUUCUUGCGCAAUGGGGAAAACCCCGACCCACCCCCCCGCGUGAAUAAAGAGGGUUUUAAAAUUGUAAAUUUUUUCACCGGGGACAAUAAUUCAAAUACCCCCCAAAAAAGCCCCGCCAAACUUUUUCCCACCAGCCCCGUUAAUAACAAGGGGGUUUGCG